ensembl:lncRNA
GGGCGGGGCUCCCGCGGCCCCGGGUAGCAUCAUGGCUACCCGAUGGAGGCCUCGAACUUAGGUCCGCGGUCUGGGCCGGGCUGCUGUUCCAGGGUCUGUCUGACCAAAAGGAGGCGAAGUCCAGAAAGCUUCUCUUGAGUGACUGUCUCAUCUGAGAAAACUGGGCUUACCAUCCCAUCCAGACCUCCAAGAGCAAGGGAGGAAGAGUCAGCUUCCCAGGGAGCCUCGCCAGGAGGAGUCUGGCAGCCAGUAGCUGGUGGAGCCCGGGGACCAGACGAGCGGCCCGCCUCAGCGCUCUGCUUGUGCUCCCCUGGACUGCACCCCCUCCGGUGAUGAACAGGCCUUUCUUUCCUCUGUAUCCCCGGGACUCAGCACAGGCGCUCAGCAAGUACCUGCCCGCCAUCCUUCGCUCUGUGGUCUGGCUCGGGUGCUUAGGCUCACUUGUUGACAGCUCUCGCCCCCGGAAUCCUCACAAUGAAGUCUGCUGCCUCGAGGGGCCAGGCAAACGAUCUUCUAAACUCAGGACGUCGGAUCAGGUCAGGAGUGGUCAAUUUAGUUGCUUCGAGCAAUACCCAAACCCUCUAAUGUUAGACUUUGUUUUCUUUAUCAAUGUUUUCAGAAACUCAAACAUUUCACAAUUCCAUUUCUCCUGCUUAAAUAACAAGGCUGAUCCAAGUCUUAUUGAUGGUAUUAACUAAAUAUCUUUAAAGGGUUGAGAACAGAAUGUUUUAAGAGAAGGGGAAGUCCCGAGCGCUGGCCCUGGGCCUGAGGGCGUGCGCUCACUCGCGUCCCGUUGUGCGCGUUGUAACCUGUAACCGGCGCUGGGGGACUUCAGGCGCCGCAGUCGUCAGAAGCCGCAGAGGCGGCUCCGUGCCCCAGAUCCUGCCCGCAGGCAUCUUCAGGAAAGAAGUGAGGGCGAAAGCAACUCACAUGCCUUUGAGCCUUCGUUGGAAAACCUGAUCUUGAACUUGUCGAUCUUGACCAAGAACUACAGAAGGGCUACCUUUUCCAGUAGGGACUCAGGGGAGUCAGUGUUUGAGCUAUUAUUGCCUCAGUCUUCUCAGCUAAAGUUUGCGUUCCUUCUCUGCAAAAAGCAUACAUGUUCAUUAAAAUAAAAACUGUCAGAAAAUAAUUAACAUUAGAAAUGCACCAAUCUGGCCCAGUUUCCCAGGAGCUUCUGAUAACAGUUUUAGGCUUAUGUAAUUUUGUUGUUUUGCACUGUCCGAAGUAAAAUAAUCUUGAUCUUGUUGUUCAGUUGCUAAGUCAUGUCUGACUCUCUGGGGACAAAAUAACCUUCCGGGAGAUAUGCUAGGAGGACUCCUGCACCUUUUUUCUCAGUCUGGACCUCUGCUGCCCUCUACAGCCAAGGAAAGACAGACAACGGUCUUUUCUUAGGUUCUACUUGUCUGGAACUUUUUUUUUUUUUUAAGGAUUUUAUGUCCUUGUCAUCUUGUGAGGAAGCACUUGUAUCAGCAGAAAUACAGGGAAGACGUUAAGGAUAUAGGUAUUGAACUAAGUGAAAGCGUUAGUCUGUCAGUUGUAGCCGUCUUUGCAGCCCCGUGGACUGUAGCCUGACAGGUUCCUCUGUCCAUGAGGUUUCCCAGGCAAGAACGCUGGAGUGGGUUGCCAUCCCUUCUCCAGGGGAUCUUCCUGACCCAGGGAUGGAACCCACAUCUCCUACAUUGCAGGAAGAUUCAUUCUUUACCAUCUGAGCCACCAAGGAAACUUGAUUUCAAAUUCUUCAUCCUAAUUAGCAAUUGUAUGACCUCAGAAAGUUGCUUCAUCUUUUUGAGCCACUUUCAGAUUUAUUAAUGACUAUAUAUAUUAAUUAAUUAAUAUCUAAUUCAAAGCCAUGUUUUACAAACUAGCAAAAUACUGAAUAAGACCUUUUGCGCUCAGUUGGCAUAGAAUUAGCACAUGGCAGAUGGUGACAAGUGAUACCUAAAUUGCCUCUGUUGCUUUGAGAAUUGGCAAGAGGAGAAAGAAAGUAAUUAUUAAGCAUUAAUUUUGUACCAGGUACUGUACCAGUUUUACAUAUAUAUUCCCAUUUAAUUCUCAUGAUAAUCCAGUCAAGGAUAUAGUCAAGGAUAUGUCAAGGAUAUAGUCUUCCUAUUAUAUCAAAAAGGUAUUUCAGCCUCAGAGAAGUUAAGAAACUUUCCUAAGGUCACAGAGCUGGACUGUGACCUACCUAAGAGCAGGAUCUGUGUCUUGCUUAAACUCACAAUAAUUAAGUAGUCUUUGGUGCAAGAAUAUAUGAAAAAAUGAAUAAUCUAGGGAAUGCAUAAGGUAAAUAUGAACCUUAUUUCCCAUGCAGUGCAGACUGCAAAUGUCUCACUCAAGGAAACAGGAGUCUUGCUGGAAUGUUAGCAAACCACGUGGACUGUGAUUCUGCUUUUGUAAAAGGCACAGAGAGCGCUGCACACCACUUUGUGCAGGAUAUUUUGUUUUAUACAACAUAUUUUAGUUCCAAGUACUUAAGGAAAUCUGCGUUCAAUUAUUAACUGACCACUAGUGGAACAGAGACUUCACUGGACACACACAGCAGAGACUACAGACCAAAAAAAAUGAGUUCAGAAAAGUAAGCAAGCAAACACGUUCAAGAAACAACAAACACUGCGGGAAGGAUUAUAAUAGUCACAUGUAUGAUAUCAGAAUGCCCUGUUUCCAACAACAGCAAAGUAAUAUGACACACACAAAUAAGACAGUGCGCUCCAACCACAAGGGGGGAGCAGUCAGUAGACACUGUCCCCAAACAAACCAGCUGCUGGGCUUUUAGACAGAUAGUUUAAACUGGCUAUUAAAAAUAUCUUCAAACAGCUAAAACUUCUAAAACACUAGAGGAAAUCAUGAGAAUAGUUUCUCACCAAUAGGAAAUAUCAACGAAGAGAGAGAUUUCAUGAAAAAAGACCUAAAUGGAAAUUCGGAAGUUGAAAAACACAAUAUAAUAACUGAAAUGAAAAUUCACUAGAGGAAAUCAGCAACAAAUGAGCAGGCAGAGAGAAGGAAUCAGUGGACUUGAAGACAGACCAAUUAAGAUUAUCUAGUCUGAAAAGGAAAAAAAUGGGGAAAGAAAUGAACAGAGCAUAAGAGACCUGUGUGAGGCCAGCAAGCAAAGAGACAUGUGUAAUUGGGUGCCCAGGUAAAGAGAAAGAGAGGAAGAGGAAGGGGCAGAAAGAAUAUUUGAAAAAAUAAUGACAAAUACUUCCCAACUUUGAUGAAAGAUAUGAAUCAACAAAUCCAAGAAGCUCAAUGAAACUCAAGUUGGAAAAACUCAAAACCUCUACGCACAUUUUAAUCAAAUUGUCUAAAGACAAUCUUUAAAGUAGCAAGACAGAAGAGACUCAUCACAUAUAAAGAAUCCUCCAUAAGAUUAACAGCUGUUUUCUCAUAAAAAACCAUGGUGCCCAGAAGAAAGUAGCAUAUUCAAAUUUUUAGGAGAAAAAAAUUGUUAUCCAAAAUUUUUAACUAGCAAAACUAUUCUUUAAAAAAAAAUGGAGGAGAAAUUAAGAACUCCCUAAUAAAGAAAAACUGAAAGAAUUCGUUGUUAGUAGACCUGCCUCACAAGACACACUAAAAGGAGACCUUCAAGCAGUAAUGAAAGGACACCAGAGAGGAAUCUGAACCAACACAAAUAAUAAAGAACAGCAGUAAAGGUGCCUGCACAGGCAAAUGUUAGCCAGUGUGAGGAUUUCUACUUGUGACUCCUCUUUUUUCCAUUUUAUUUAAAAGACAAGUGUAAUCACUGUAAGUCUGUGUUUACGGGCACACAUGCCUAAAGAUGGAGUUUAUGCACUGUAAAGGAAGAUGGGAGAUAUAUAGAAGCAAAGCUUUAUAUAAUAUUGAAGUUGUUUGU